CACGUAGGGGACCAGCGUUGUCCGGAUUUACUGGGCGUAAAGAGCGCGCAGGCGGUCGUUCAAGUCGAGUGUGAAAGCCCCCCGGCUCAACUGGGGAGGGUCACUCGAUACUGAUCGACUUGAAGGCAGGAGAGGGAAGCGGAAUUCCCGGUGUAGUGGUGAAAUGCGUAGAUAUCUGGAGGAACACCGGUGGCGAAGGCGGCAUCCUGGACCGGUAUUGACGCUGAGGCGCGAAAGCUAGGGGAGCAAACGGG
rnacentral:rRNA from 1 species